UCUCUGUAUCGGGUACAUUAGGGUUAAAAACUGUUUAUCAGCUGCAUUGGAGUCAGCUGUCAUUAUUUACGGGGAUGUCAUUUCACGUCGUUAGCCGGUUGGAAAGGAAGUAAUUAAACGAUUUGCUGCAAGAGUGGGAGACUCACCUGGUUUGAUGACGUAUUGAAAGCAUUUUGUAACUACAAAGCUCAUUAAAUUUGAGUUGUAAAAUCAAUUGCUAACGGAAUUGCACUAUGUCGGCCAAAGCCUCAUAUAGCUUUUUAAUAGCUGUGAUAUUGAUUGUGCCUUUGCUGGUCGAGGCAACCAUAUCACCGAGGAAAGGUCGUGUUGAAAAAACCAAAACCACUAAACCGUUAAAUGUGUUGGCUGGACCACAAAAUGAAUCUGUUUUCAACCGCAAUUUGAUUAAUAUGCGUCCUCUUCCACAAGACAUUCUAGAACAUAAUGCAGCAUAUUAUAAGGAUACAACUUACCGUAACUUCAAUGGGACUGUGCUUGGCUAUGUUACUGCGUGGAAUUCACAUGGGUAUGAUGUGGCAAAAAUGUUUGCUCGAAAAUUCGAUAUUAUCUCACCCGUUUGGUUCCAAAUUGUCAAGGACGGCGAUGAAUAUAAAAUAGCUGGUGGCCAUGAUGUUGAUGUCAAUUGGAUGAGGGAAUUGAAGCGCAAAGGAAAGCAGGAACGCGGUACUACUCUAAAAAUUUUCCCACGUUUUAUAUUUGACAAAUUUACGGAACGGGACUUUUCACGUUUGUUGAGCUUGGAAACCGAAAGGGUACGACUAAAUGAAAUAUUGAUUAAUGUUUGCAAAAACUACGAAUUUGAUGGCAUUGUCAUUGAAUUUUGGACACAACUUGGCGGGCGUGUCGAUGAUACAUUUCUUAUUACAUUAAUACAAAAAAUGAGCGAAGCACUUAAAAAAGAAAAUUUGCGUCUAAUACUUGUGAUACCGCCAUAUCGUCAAGAAAUUCCAAACUUAUUCACUGAAAGACAUCUAAAUCAACUGUACAAACACGUUUACGCAUUUUCGCUAAUGACCUACGAUUAUUCGAAUCCACAGCGACCAGGUGCAAACUCUCCAUUAUACUGGGUACGACAGUCAGUGGAACUAUUAGCUCCGCCUACAACAAAUGAUGUUAAAACAAAAAGGCGUAAACUUUUACUGGGUCUCAAUAUGUAUGGAAAUGAUUAUACACCCGACGGUGGCGGCCCAAUAGUUGCAGGACAGUUCUUAAAGCUUUUGAAAUAUACGAAGAAACGCUUACCGUUUGAUGAAUUGGAUGUUGAAAACUACUUCGAAGUAAAAACCGAAGAUGGCAGACACAUGGUUUUCUAUCCUACACUUUAUUCCGUUCAUGAGCGUAUAAAACUUGCUCAAGAAAUGGGCACUGGAAUAUCUAUUUGGGAGUUGGGUCAAGGAUUAGACUAUUUUUAUGAUCUCUUUUAAGGCUGUUUUUAAGAUAUUAGAGCAUUCAUAAGCAAUAUUUUAUUUGGUAAGUAAGUUAUUCUAGUUAUCUUAACAAAGUCAGAAUAAGUGAAUUGUAACUUAACAUUCCCGGAAUAAUGUUCAAAAACUACACGAAAGAAGUACGCUAAACGAUCUUAGAAUAUAAACGGUAAAUUUUAAGAACGACUCGAAACUCAUAUUUUUUAUAUUCAUAAGUAAUAAUGGAUUUUAUUGAGCCACUGCACUCGUCCACAGAAACCACUGAUUUUUACUAUUUAAACCCCAGCUCGAAUCGAAAAAGAUUAUGUAUUUUUUAUCUUGCUUUAUUUGUUUGCUAUUUUUAUGUAUUGUAGAAACAGGCUUAAAAACCUUUCAGUCUGUCUUGAUUUGAAGCGGAUACAUCAGAUUGGAUAAUGGAGUAGUGAAAAGAUAAAUAGUACAUAAUUAUGAA
rnacentral:misc_RNA from 1 species